UGUGUAGUUGGAGGCGAUGACCCGCCAGGUCCCUAUACGGGCGCCAAGGGACGAGCGGCGAGCCAGUGGCGCGACCGACCAAACCCCUA
rfam:Oceanithermus profundus DSM 14977, complete genome.